UGGCACCAGUGACUCCUCAGACAUUUCAAUGUCUCCUGGUGCCGGACCAAGAAAAACGCUAAGAGCUAUAUAGGGGGGUGGGUGUUGGUGGAAGUCUGGGCAGACCGAGGUACCCCUACUCGGUUCCGGACAUCGGUAGCGAUCGAGGGUUUGGUUCCGGAUAUGCGUCCGAGGGAUCUCCGACUGGCCGGUCGCCUGCACCGACGCCGGAAAAAUUUUCCGGCGACUUUUCCGGCGACCGGUUUUUCGGAUUUUUUCGGAAUAUCUGGACGAAAGAUGGUGAUUGGCCGAGGAGAAUGGGCGUGUCAUGCAUGGGCGGACAUGGAUUCUCCGAGGCCGAAGGGUGGCGGUAUAUACGUAGGUCGCACGUAUUACCGAGAUGUCCCCAUGGGCAUCGAUUCCACCCUCGCCUAGCUGGCUGGUCGUGCUUCGGUGGAUAAGCAUGGAUCCGGCUAGGCUGUUCCGAGGAAAGCAACAUCCACCUUGCAGUUAGGGAUUGCGAGAGGCUCGCCCGAGCGGUGUCGAGACGGUCAUGGAACUUGUGCCUGUCCCGUACGGCUGGACCCUCUGGCUUUGGAAAGUGGCUUUAUCGAUAACAGCCGGAGCCCCUCUGCAAUCUAUCGGCUAUGUUGGAUGGUCGUGCUUCAUGGGAGAGCAUGGAUCCACCUAGUCUGUCCCGAAGAAAGGUCCCGAGGAAAGCAAGGUGAGAAUGUCUCCCAUGGGCAUCGCGAUCCGCCUUGUAGCUAGGUUCGGAUACGGAAAGGUUAACGAUACCGCAAGGAUGCACAGAUGGCGUUCGACUCUCGAGUCUAUUCGUUCGGAUGUUUGCCUAGGCGUCGUUUACCUUCACGUUGAUGUACCCGGCUUGGUUCUCGCGCUUGUGCGGCUUUGGCCUGGUUUCGUCCGUCUUCGCUCUGCUCGACCGAAUACUUCGGAAGAGUGGGUUGAAUGAUUGGUGAAUUUGGGCCAACUGAACGUUCGGCGUAUGAGUGGUGUUCGGAUAGCUAGUGUUUGUAGGCUCCGUGCUCGCGCAUCGAACUACUUACCACCUAUCCUUCUCAAUUAGUUCACGAGCCAUGAUAAGCUUGAUGAUCUGUUUUGGGGGCCUGUGUUGCGUACCUACCUAGAAGGUAUUGUUGAGUUUUGUUGCCACCUUUGUCCGCGGCAUCUCCUUUGCGGGGGAAGUCGUGGACACGAAAGCCGGCUCUUGUUUUCCUUUCGACGUUGCAUCAUUUGCCUCGUUCGCAUUGGCGAAUAAGCUGUCGGUCGAAAUCUCGGAUGCGGAAAAGUUAUGGACGGUGACUCGAAGCGAUUCAGUCCCGCCAAAGCACAUCUGUCCCUCGGACAAAAGAUGAUGGUCGAGACCUCGUCCGUUCUCUCUUUCCUUAGCGUUAGUUUGAGCGUGGUGGGGAAUCGCCGUGAUCGAUGAUUGCUACCUGGUUGAUCCUGCCAGUAGUCAUAUGCUUGUCUCAAAGAUUAAGCCAUGCAUGUGUAAGUAUGAACGAAUUCAGACUGUGAAACUGCGAAUGGCUCAUUAAAUCAGUUAUAGUUUGUUUGAUGGUAACUACUACUCGGAUAACCGUAGUAAUUCUAGAGCUAAUACGUGCAACAAACCCCGACUUCUGGAAGGGAUGCAUUUAUUAGAUAAAAGGUCGACGCGGGCUCUGCCCGUUGCUCUGAUGAUUCAUGAUAACUCGACGGAUCGCAUGGCCUUUGUGCUGGCGACGCAUCAUUCAAAUUUCUGCCCUAUCAACUUUCGAUGGUAGGAUAGUGGCCUACCAUGGUGGUAACGGGUGAUAGAGAAUUAGGGUUCGAUUCCGGAGAGAGAGCCUGAGAAACGGCUACCACAUCCAAGGAAGGCAGCAGAUCGGAAGAGCGGUUCUCA